rfam:Dipodomys ordii contig_67635, whole genome shotgun sequence.
GGUGGCUCAGUGGUAGAGUGUUUGCCUUGCAUGCAUGAGGCCUUGGGUUCGAUUCCUUGGCACCA